UACAAUUUCGAAUAAGAGCAUCAUACUUAUCUUGAGCCGCCACUCGCCACUUUUUUAUGUACAAACGCUUUAUCAAUCGUACAUGGCUCAUGAUCAAGUAACGCAACUAUCAAAGCUUUAGGUUUGAAGAUACCUGCUUUGGACCAGGUGAUCAUACAAUGUGUAUAGCCUUGGGGUAGUGGAGUAUCUACUGUUGGUGAUAGACAACAUCGAUGUGGGGGAAGAAGUGCUGCUACCGUGAUCCAAGGCACCAACGUCAUUUUUCAAAGGUGACAACUCAAGUGUGGGAGGAGAAGUGUUGCUACUGGGACCCAAGGCACCAACAUCAUUUUCAAAAAACGGUGAGUCUAUGACACCAUGAGACGAAACCGUAGGACUUCAUAUGUCGGCAUCUCUGUUAGGAUACUAAUGUGAUUGAGACUGUACAAGAGGAACAAACGCGGUAACACAGUCGGUUGUUAAGGUAGAAGGUGAAGAGUUUGUAGCAAACAAAAAUCAAUUUUCAUAAAAAGUAACCUGUCGAUAUACAAUAAUUUUACCAUCAGACGUAAGACAUUGAUAUCCUUUAUGCUGAAAACUGUAACCCAAAAAG
rnacentral:lncRNA from 1 species